rnacentral:rRNA from 1 species
CCAAUUGAUUGAUGGUGCUUGCACCUGAUUGAUUUUGGUCGCCAACGAGUGGCGGACGGGUGAGUAACACGUAGGUAACCUGCCCAGAAGCGGGGGACAACAUUUGGAAACAGAUGCUAAUACCGCAUAACAGCGUUGUUCGCAUGAACAACGCUUAAAAGAUGGCUUCUCGCUAUCACUUCUGGAUGGACCUGCGGUGCAUUAGCUUGUUGGUGGGGUAACGGCCUACCAAGGCGAUGAUGCAUAGCCGAGUUGAGAGACUGAUCGGCCACAAUGGGACUGAGACACGGCCCAUACUCCUACGGGAGGCAGCAGUAGGGAAUCUUCCACAAUGGGCGCAAGCCUGAUGGAGCAACACCGCGUGAGUGAAGAAGGGUUUCGGCUCGUAAAGCUCUGUUGUUAAAGAAGAACACGUAUGAGAGUAACUGUUCAUACGUUGACGGUAUUUAACCAGAAAGUCACGGCUAACUACGUGCCAGCAGCCGCGGUAAUACGUAGGUGGCAAGCGUUAUCCGGAUUUAUUGGGCGUAAAGAGAGUGCAGGCGGUUUUCUAAGUCUGAUGUGAAAGCCUUCGGCUUAACCGGAGAAGUGCAUCGGAAACUGGAUAACUUGAGUGCAGAAGAGGGUAGUGGAACUCCAUGUGUAGCGGUGGAAUGCGUAGAUAUAUGGAAGAACACCAGUGGCGAAGGCGGCUACCUGGUCUGCAACUGACGCUGAGACUCGAAAGCAUGGGUAGCGAACAGGAUUAGAUACCCUGGUAGUCCAUGCCGUAAACGAUGAGUGCUAGGUGUUGGAGGGUUUCCGCCCUUCAGUGCCGGAGCUAACGCAUUAAGCACUCCGCCUGGGGAGUACGACCGCAAGGUUGAAACUCAAAGGAAUUGACGGGGGCCCGCACAAGCGGUGGAGCAUGUGGUUUAAUUCGAAGCUACGCGAAGAACCUUACCAGGUCUUGACAUCUUGCGCCAACCCUAGAGAUAGGGCGUUUCCUUCGGGAACGCAAUGACAGGUGGUGCAUGGUCGUCGUCAGCUCGUGUCGUGAGAUGUUGGGUUAAGUCCCGCAACGAGCGCAACCCUUGUUACUAGUUGCCAGCAUUAAGUUGGGCACUCUAGUGAGACUGCCGGUGACAAACCGGAGGAAGGUGGGGACGACGUCAGAUCAUCAUGCCCCUUAUGACCUGGGCUACACACGUGCUACAAUGGACGGUACAACGAGUCGCGAACUCGCGAGGGCAAGCAAAUCUCUUAAAACCGUUCUCAGUUCGGACUGCAGGCUGCAACUCGCCUGCACGAAGUCGGAAUCGCUAGUAAUCGCGGAUCAGCAUGCCGCGGUGAAUACGUUCCCGGGCCUUGUACACACCGCCCGUCACACCAUGAGAGUUUGUAACACCCAAAGUCGGUGGGGUAACCUUUUAGGAGCCAGCCGCCU